rnacentral:rRNA from 1 species
CCUAUCAGCUUGUUGGUGGGGUAACGGCCCACCAAGGCGACGACGGGUAGCCGGCCUGAGAGGCGACCGGCCACACUGGGACUGAGACACGGCCCAGACUCCUACGGGAGGCAGCAGUGGGGAAUAUUGCACAAUGGGCGCAAGCCUGAUGCAGCGACGCCGCGUGAGGGAUGACGGCCUUCGGGUUGUAAACCUCUUUCAGUACCGAGCGAAGCGCAAGUGACGGUAGGUACAGAAGAAGCACCGGCCAACUACGUGCCAGCAGCCGCGGUAAUACGUAGGGUGGCGAGCGUUGUCCGGAAUUACUGGGCGUAAAGAGCUCGUAGGCGGUUUGUCGCGUCGUCUGGUGAAAACCCGCAGCUCAACUGCGGGCUUGCAGGCGAUACGGGCAGACUUGAGUACUGCAGGGGAGACUGGAAUUCCUGGUGUAGCGGUGAAAUGCGCAGAUAUCAGGAGGAACACCGGUGGCGAAGGCGGGUCUCUGGGCAGUAACUGACGCUGAGGAGCGAAAGCGUGGGUAGCGAACAGGAUUAGAUACCCUGGUAGUCCACGCCGUAAACGGUGGGCUAGGUUGGGUUUCCUUCCACGGGAUCCGUGCCGUAGCUA